rnacentral:rRNA from 1 species
UACGUAGGGUGCGAGCGUUAAUCGGAAUUACUGGGCGUAAAGCGUGCGCAGGCGGUUCGUUAAGUCAGAUGUGAAAGCCCCGGGCUCAACCUGGGAACUGCAUUUGAAACUGGCGGGCUUGAGUGUGGCAGAGGGGGUGGAAUUCCGCGUGUAGCAGUGAAAUGCGUAGAGAUGUGGAGGAAUACCGAUGGCGAAGGCAGCCCCCUGGGAUAACACUGACGCUCAUGCACGAAAGCGUGGGGAGCAAACAGG